rnacentral:rRNA from 1 species
UACGAAGGUCCCGAGCGUUGUUCGGAAUCACUGGGCGUAAAGGGAGCGUAGGCGGCGCGGUAAGUCAGAUGUGAAAUCCCGGGGCUCAACCCCGGAACUGCAUCCGAUACUGCCGUGCUAGAGGAUUGGAGAGGUAGCUGGAAUUCUUGGUGUAGCAGUGAAAUGCGUGGAUAUCAAAGAGGAACACUCGUGGCGAAAAGCGAGUCUACUGGGACA